AUACGAAAGGUGCAAGCGUUGUUCGGAUUUACUGGGCGUAAAGAGAGUGUAGGUGGUUUAUUAAGUCGGAUGUGAAAUCCCGGGGCUCAACCUCGGAACUGCAUUCGAUACUGAUAGGCUAGAGUUUGGGAGGGGUAAGCGGAAUUCCGUGUGUAGCAGUGAAAUGCGUAGAUAUGCGGAGGAACACCUGAGGCGAAGGCGGCUUACUGGACCAAUACUGACACUGAGACUCGAAAGCGUGGGUAGCAAACAGGAUUAGAUACCCUAGUAGUCC
rnacentral:rRNA from 1 species